GCAGCCGGGAAUGAGCGGAUGGCCGGGAUGGAAGCGACUGGGGUGAACCAGCCGGGUGAAGUCCCAGGGCCGCAGAGCUGCGCCGGGGAUCUGUCCUGGAAGAGCCUUCUCUUCUCCCUGGACACUUUAAGCGGCGGCGGCGGCCGGCGGCGAAAGGUGGCAGACCGGACAGCGAGCCUCCCCCUUCCCGAUGUGGCUCUGGCCGCCGGAGAACACAAGUGAGCAAGAAGUGCCAGGCCGGGCCAUCCCCUUCAGGAUUUUAUGCCAAUGCUAUGCCAAAAUCAUACCAUUUCUUCUUUCUCUGUGUGUGAUUUUCUGAGAACAUUUCCCCAUUCAUAUCCAGGAAGUACUCUCCGAGUAUCCUGAAAGGGAAGCAACCACUUCACUAAAAGAUAUUUGCCAUAAUUCUGCAAUUGGACAUUCCGGACACCAGAACAGUUUCCCAGAGAUUGGAAAUAUUGGAGUCUACACAAAAAUCGAUGUUCAUUUACAGGAAAAGCAUGCAUGCCGGGACUGAAGCAGUGACUUAUGCUAUGACAUAAUAUGUUUUUGACACAAAAAGUACUUGUCAAAAAUCAAGAUUCAAAAACAAUCAUUCUAAGUGUUUUCAGGGGAGCGAGGAAAACCUGGCUUUCAUGUCAAUAAUACAGCUGACAUAAAUAAUGAUGGAAAACUGACAGCUACCAGAUAUGAUUUACCAGUAGGUGCUUCAAAUUCCUAAAAAAUGAAAAGGGUACACCGACAACAGGAGAGGACUGGCUCAGAAAGGACAAGACUACAAAUCCUGCUAAACAGAAGACAUCUACAAGUUCCCCAUGAUGAGAGACAAGGAGGCUGGUUUGCAAAGGUCAAAGGAGGCAGAGGUAGCAAGCCUGGAGAAGCAGAAAGCCCAGGAGCUCAAAGAAGUCCUAAGAGCAGCACUGACGAGCUGUGUUAAAGACUCAAAUGGCAGCUGAAAACAAGUGUCUCUGAAUCCAGAGACGUUGAUUGUGGUUCCAAAACAGAUACUUUGAGAUUAAUUCAACUCCUGAUUAAAGCAAACAUAUAGAAUCUAGGAUGAAUUUAUAGGCUCAAUGGCAAAUAAUAACAAUUAACAAUAGCCAAUACUUACAUGGCAUCUAAUAAGUACUUAGCAUAAUUUAACCAACUCAGUCUUCACCAUAACUCUGUGAGGCAGAAACUAUUAUUAUUCUUUCUGUGGAGAUGAGAGAAAUUAGGUGCAGACAACCUGAGUAACUUGCCCAAGUCACCGAAGUGGUAGAGGUGGAGGUGAAGCCCGACGGUCUGUAGCCUUCAUCACUGCAUGCCACUCUCAUUCCCUUUCGGCUUCCCAUCUUCUUUCUUUAUUCUAUAUCCCCCUUUCCCUAUUCCACCCCUUCACUCUGAUUUUCCCUUCCUAUACAUCACGAAUGUCAGCUUGGUCAUUUAUGGUGGAACCUGAGCAAAUGAUAGCAAAUAUAUGGAACUUACUCUGAUCCUCCUCCACCCAAUUAGCUUGAGUUGAAAUGAGGAAGGAUUUGAACUAGCCAGUUUGGCUGUGAGUAGAGUGUCAGCCCACAGGCUGAGGGGUCUUAAGUUAAAAUCUGA